UCCCAGCUCGCCUCUCUAGCAGAAAUCUUUCUGCUCCCAGGAAGGAGAAGUGAGGAAAAGGACCAACUCCCAGGUGAGCCUGAGCACAGCCGAGUGUGGAGGAGUGCCACCACCAUCCUUUUGGAAGACAGCAGUUUCAGCUGCACGACACCAGUGCCCUUUUUUCCUCAUUGCUUUAAAGAAGCUCUUCUUUUUUUUCUAAGAGCCACAUCUGCUGGUAGAGGUGUCCACUUCUGGCCAUCGUUGGAGACAAGACACCAGCACUGAUGAACCUUUCGCCUGACAGACACAACGAAUCUUUCAGGACCACUGUUUGCAGAAUUUAAAUGUGACCAAGCUCCCAUCUAUGCCAUGAAACUGGAGACAAGAAAGUGGCAAAGAACUUA